GCUGAUUAGGCAUGAUUAAGCUUCCUUAUCAUCCUGCUCAAAGUUCUCCUAUACACAAGCCAAUCUUGCUCUGAUGCCAGGGCUGGGGCUGCUGUUUCUAUUGACUCUUUGUGCUCCUUGCAUGCUUCAUCUGCAAAAGGGAGGAUCAACAAGGAAGUACGGAAAAUCCCUUUACUGUUAGGAACACAAAAAAGGUAGAUCCUUUUAUAAGGCUAAUGGAACAUCAUCCCUUGGUCUGAGCACAGUAGCAUCUUUAUUUCAUGUGACCUGCAGACCUAUAAUAUCAUAGUAGCCUAUGGAAGAGGCACCUAAGACUUGGACUGAAGGCAUGUUGCGUUCAUAUCAAAACCUCUGCUCUGCCUGUCAGGGAGGAGAAACCUACGUCUCCAGCACUGAAGUUCAGGGCUCCUGGUACCCAACUAUUGUCUUGGUCCAGGUGUUUUUUUUUUUUUUUUCUUUUCUGACCAAAAUGCCACCUUGGAACUUCCUUUCCUUUUGUAACUGGAGCAUGCAGCUUCUGGCAAGAUAACCCUUUGUGAACUCAUUCUCAGCCAGCUCUGUUGGUGAACACAACUUACACUAUGAAAACUGCUCAGCCCUGCGCUUCAAGAAGAUCCACACGCUCUGUCCUGAGUCCUUGCUUGACAAAAUCUCCCAAGAAACAGUAGGAGUUUGGACUGUGUGGUUUCUAAUGUUAAGCCAAAAAUAAAUGAUGUAUGUUGCCUUAUAGUCUUACACAAAUUAUCUGAUCAUUGUAAAAAUAAAAGUUAAGAAUAAAACCAAGAAAGAGAAGGACAAUAAAUCAUCAUAAUAUUAUAUAAAAAAAACACUACAUAUUCAGAUUGCCAUUGCAAAACUGCUCUUCUUGUGCUAGGAUUUUCACAAUGGAUUGGCCGGAAGCUUGGCUCUGAAUGAGAAAAUGUGCCCCAUUAGGCAAAAGAGCUCAAUGUCUGCAUGUUUUUUCUUUUGUUAAAUUUGGCAAGGGGAGCCUACCACCUUAAUUAAUGUCAUUUGUGAUAUUAAGAGGCAAAUAUUAGAGCAACAAGU